rnacentral:misc_RNA from 1 species
UCUCCGUAGGUGAACCUGCGGAGGGAUCAUUACUGAGUGAGGGCCUCCGGUCCGACCUCCAACCCUUUGUGAACCAACACUGUUGCUUCGGGGGCGACCCUGCCGACGACUUCGUCGCCGGGCGCCCCCGGAGGUCUUCUAAACACUGCAUCUUUGCGUCGGAGUUUAAACAAAUUAAACAAAACUUUCAACAACGGAUCUCUUGGUUCUGGCAUCGAUGAAGAACGAAGC